rnacentral:sRNA from 1 species
GAGAGGAGAGCCUCAGGAGUUAGGACCAGAAGAAGCCAGGGAAGCAGUGCAAUGGCUUCAAAAAUCUUGCUUAACGUACAAGAGGAGGUAUCCUGUCCCAUCUGCCUGGAGCUGUUGACAGAACCCUUGAGUCUAGGCUGUGGCCACAGCCUCUGCCGAGCCUGCAUCACUGUGAGCAACAAGGAGGCAGUGACCAGCCCAGGAGAAAAAAGCAGCUGUCCUGUGUGUGGUAUCAGUUACUCAUUUGAACAUCUACAGGCUAAUCAGCAUCUGGCCAACAUAGUGGAGAGACUCAAGGAGGUCAAGUUGAGCCCAGACAAUGGGAAGAAGAGAGAUCUCUGUGAUCGACAUGGAGAGAAACUCCUACUCUUCUGUAAGGAGGAUAGGAAAGUCAUUUGCUGGCUUUGUGAGCGGUCUCAGGAGCACCGUGGUCACCACACAGUCCUCACAGAGGAAGUAUUCAAGGAAUGUCAGGAGAAACUCCAGGCAGUCCUCAAGAGGCUGAAGAAGGAGGAGGAGGAAGCUGAGAAGCUGGAAGCUGACAUCAGAGAAGAGAAAACUUCCUGGAAGUAUCAGGUACAAACUGAGAGACAAAGGAUACAAAUAGAAUUUGAUCAGCUUAGAAGCAUCCUAAAUAGUGAGGAGCAGAGAGAGCUGCAAAGAUUGGAAGAAGAGGAAAAGCAGACGCUGGAUAAAUUUGCAGAGGCUGAGGAUGAGCUAGUUCAGCAGAAGCAGUUGGUGAGAGAGCUCAUCUCAGAUGUGGAGUGUCGGAGUCAGUGGUCAACAAUGGAGCUGCUGCAGGACAUGAGUGGAAUCAUGAAAUGGUGCGUAUGGGUGGCCAGGAGUGGUGCUUGUGAGUUAUAAAGAAGUGUUUAUAGCUAUUAGAGUUAUUUGAUGGUCAAUCGGAAUAAAAAAUCUCCCAGAGUAGUAAAA